rnacentral:rRNA from 1 species
UACGUAGGGUGCGAGCGUUGUCCGGAAUUAUUGGGCGUAAAGGGCUCGUAGGCGGUUUGUCGCGUCGGGAGUGAAAACACCGGGCUUAACUCGGUGCUGGCUUUCGAUACGGGCAGACUAGAGGUAUUCAGGGGAGAACGGAAUUCCUGGUGUAGCGGUGAAAUGCGCAGAUAUCAGGAGGAACACCGGUGGCGAAGGCGGGUCUCUGGGCCGUAACUGACGCUGAGGAGCGAAAGCAUGGGGAGCGAACAGG